GGCCUAUGAUGCAGUCGACGAACUCUGGUAUUGAUUGGUGCUUGCAUCAUGAUUUACAUUUGAGUGAGUGGCGAACUGGUGAGUAACACGUGGGAAACCUGCCCAGAAGCGGGGGAUAACACCUGGAAACAGAUGCUAAUACCGCAUAACAACUUGGACCGCAUGGUCCGAGUUUGAAAGAUGGCUUCGGCUAUCACUUUUGGAUGGUCCCGCGGCGUAUUAGCUAGAUGGUGGGGUAACGGCUCACCAUGGCAAUGAUACGUAGCCGACCUGAGAGGGUAAUCGGCCACAUUGGGACUGAGACACGGCCCAAACUCCUACGGGAGGCAGCAGUAGGGAAUCUUCCACAAUGGACGAAAGUCUGAUGGAGCAACGCCGCGUGAGUGAAGAAGGGUUUCGGCUCGUAAAACUCUGUUGUUAAAGAAGAACAUAUCUGAGAGUAACUGUUCAGGUAUUGACGGUAUUUAACCAGAAAGCCACGGCUAACUACGUGCCAGCAGCCGCGGUAAUACGUAGGUGGCAAGCGUUGUCCGGAUUUAUUGGGCGUAAAGCGAGCGCAGGCGGUUUUUUAAGUCUGAUGUGAAAGCCUUCGGCUCAACCGAAGAAGUGCAUCGGAAACUGGGAAACUUGAGUGCAGAAGAGGACAGUGGAACUCCAUGUGUAGCGGUGAAAUGCGUAGAUAUAUGGAAGAACACCAGUGGCGAAGGCGGCUGUCUGGUCUGUAACUGACGCUGAGGCUCGAAAGUAUGGGUAGCAAACAGGAUUAGAUACCCUGGUAGUCCAUACCGUAAACGAUGAAUGCUAAGUGUUGGAGGGUUUCCGCCCUUCAGUGCUGCAGCUAACGCAUUAAGCAUU
rnacentral:rRNA from 2 species